rnacentral:lncRNA from 1 species
CAAAGGGAGAAUCCCGGCACUGCACAGUUGCCUAGAAACGGCCACAGAGGGGAGAGCUGCCGGAAGUCUCUCCAGGCUCCGAGACCGAGAAGUGGUGCUAGGGAAGAGGCUUGUAGAGGGAGAGAAGCUGUGCUCAUCCCCAACGGGAAAAUCGCCGGAAACCGCACUAGGUCCUCGGCCCCGCAGGGACCAAUAGGGGCUGACGCUUCCGCAUCCGGGCAUUGGGCGAGACUCUUUCAACCAAUCUUUGGGCGGGCACUGGUGACGUCACUCGUUGUGCUCCAGCGUGUGUCGUCAUCCCACAGCGCCGGAAGUGGUGCGGCUCUGAACAGUGACUCGGCUUGUCUGUCUCCACAGUCUCGAGGCUUUGCCCCAUCCUCGGGCUGUAGGCGUCUCGCUUUGCUCAAGCUCCCUUGGGCCGUUUUUCGGAGGCCCUCAGGUUGGUCGCCGCGCCACCUCACGUUCGUUCACCCGGCCCCCUCCCCUAGCUUGGUCACAACACAAACAGACAAAAGAUUAGAGAAUGGGCACUGUUCAGCCCAAGCAGGCGGCUCAGGUUGUCAGGAAGGACAUUGUUUCCUCCAGAAACGCUCCCUGAAAGGAACUUGAGGGGCGUUCACAUCCUCCUCAACAGGCCUAAUGGGAGGGCCAGAAGAAGCAAGCUUUUCCUCACGCAGCCGGUGUUGGUUCAAUAGAGCAGAGGUAUAAUUUCCAUAUGGAAUUAAUGCCCAGGUUUAGAGCCUUUAGGGAAUCUAACUUAUAUUGGGAAUCAUUAGAAUACUUGAGGCAGGACUGGACACGUGAGGAGACAACACAGAUUUGUGUCCUUCCACCUUAGUUGCACAGUCAGUGCUGUGGGAUGAUCUUACUACUUGUCCUUAGCUCUUGUCUUCAGCGUUAACCAGCGAUAAUAGUGUCAAACUCUUACUUUUUGCUAGACACUGAAAGUGCGUACUUCCUCAUUGAGUCUUGUGACAACCAUGUGUUGUAGAGCAAUUUUUAAAAUAAGAUUAUUUAUGUAUUUAUUCAUGAGAGACACAGAGAGGCAGAGACAUAGGCUGAGGGAGAAGCAGGUUCCCUAUGGGGAGCCGGAUAUGGGACUCCCAUCCCAGGACCCUGGGAUCACAACCUGAGCUGAAGGCAGCCCCUCAACCGCUGAGCCACCCAGGUGCCCCUAGAGAGCAAUUCUUAAUGUUGUUUUACAGCUAAAGAAAUAAAGGCGUAGGUUAAAUAACUGGCA